ACACCUCCCACUAUUUCCUCGAAUCUUUCACACUCCUCUGGUAGAGAAACGGAAACCUUGCGACUCUAGGUUUCAAGUGGGGUGCUACGGUCCCACCAAUUUACAUGCCACCUCACCUAACAGUUAUUGGUGACAUAUAAAUGAUGAGUGUACAACUCUUAUACAAUGCUUCUCAAGCAAGUUGUAGCGCUAUCAGGUCUCUAAGUAAUGAAGACCUCACCUAACAGUUAUUGGCCCCAUUCCUUAGUUAAGUCGGACCCACCGUAUAACCGUAGAAGCAAAGCCGUCAUUGGGUCCCUCACCUAACAGUUAUUGGGCUCAACCCUAUCUUUACCCGUACAACAUCUCAUGCUUAAUAGAGAGGUCCAGUCCCCCGAUGCAACUUGCCCACUGUAUCCAGCCGAGACAAAUCAACGCCGGAAAGACCUUAGCAGCUCUACUAUGGUGGAAGACCUAUGAACUUAAUAUUUUUCGAGGAGAUUUAAUUUCGGUCUCUUUCAUUUAAUUAUG
rnacentral:lncRNA from 1 species